GGACCGCUCGCUCUGACAGCAGUCAGCACUGGGAACAAAAGGAAUGGAGGGGAAAAAAAGCGCAAAUGUAUUUUUACAUAUUGUAGGCAUAUGGCCACAAGACCAGCAGAAAUAUAUUUAAUUACCAAUUGCGCACAUUGAAGAGAAAAACACCGGGAAGGAAAAAAAAAAAAAAAAAAAAAAAACCUGUGUACACAGCAAUGUUAUUCUACUUUAACUUUUCACCUCAUUUUUUUUUGUUUGUUUGUUUUCUUUUCUUUUUUUUUUUUUUACCUGAAGAUGAAAAGGAUGUGGUUUAGAAUCGAGAAGGGUUAUCUACUAGAAUCCCAUUGAAGGUGCUAUGGGUCUUUGACAUGCCUUUCCAAAUAGUGUAACAUUAAUUUUUCUUUUAAUUAUUUUAAUUAUAAAAUAAUUUUUCAAAGGUAUUUGGGGGGGUCAGGGGGACCUACCUGAAACAGAACCAUUAGACAAUCCCACCGUCCCGUGAAAACUGUAUUUCUGAUGUUAAACAUUUGUUUAGGCCUUGACAAUGAACAAAUCCCCCUUGGAAGUUUUAUAGUUUUGUUCUUCCUUAUGAAAUCGGAACAGUUCAGCCCACAUUAAUUGCCUGCUUCCUAUCUGUCAGGCACUGUGCUAGCCAGUGGAGGGGCAGAGAUGAACCAUAUAUAUUCCCUGCGCUCAAGAAGCUCAUAGUCUAAGAUGGGAGACAGACACAGGCUGAGUCGUGUUCCAUUGUAUAUGUGUACAACAUCUUUAUGGAAUGGACUUUUUCUUCAGCCUGGGAGUCAGUCACCAAGGAGGACCAGCAAGAUAACUUCUUCCUGGAAGAGCUAAUGAAAAGAAACUUUGGGUCUGAGCAAGAGUGUAGGUGAGAAAUCUCAUGGUACCCAUUGAUCCUGUUGAUUGUUUCACCAAUCAUCAACCUGAUGGGAAAUUGUAUCUGAAUCAAUGUGUUAGAACUUCCUACUUCCCUAAGCUCUAGUAACUGGGGAGACUGGGGUUGGGCAAAUACCUAUUGGUACCACGCACACCUUUGGGCCAUCUGGUUGUUGGUGGACUAGGACCUAUGGUUGGAGCUAGAGCCAUAUCCAGUGAGAGUCUGUGCCCAGCUGGUCACAGGCCUCCUCUGAGGAGUGCUGGGGGUGGUGAGACCCCCAGCAGUAGCAGAGGCAGCAGCCCCAGCAUUGAGGUAGAGUUGGGGGACUUGGCUGCAUGACCAAGUUGGUGGCCAUGGACUCUAAUCAGGAAGAGGAAUCACAAGGAUGAAGGCAGUUAGAUGUGUCCCAUCAAACUAGUGGCCAGGCCUUGAAUUUCCCAGCUGUGAUUCACCAUUCCUGGCAGGUGUACCUCUUGGGUUGACAUGUCUGAGAACUGUGUGGGCAGGUCUUUUCUUUCUGGCCUCUGGAAGGGUUUAUUGGAAGACAGAUAUUGAAAUGGUGCCAACCCUAGUGAUAGUGUAGUUGUGAUAACCAUCAGAAGCUAGUCCCAUCUUUACUGGAGAAGGUUUGGUUCAUUUGGGGCUUGGCCCUGGAGAGGCCAACACUGAAGAAAUAGACCAAGACCAUCGUAAAGCUCAAAUGGAUCCCAUAAGAACACAUGAAUUGUGCUGACUCAGUUAUUAGUGAAUUCAAGCGUGCUUGGGUAGGAGUUAAAAAUGUUGAAAUUGUCAUGAGUUAGGAGCUAGGUGGAAAUUACUUUCCUAUAGCCCGAAUUUAAAAUACUUCUGGAAAAUAAAGAGUCUGUGUC
rnacentral:lncRNA from 1 species